AGAGUUUGAUCCUGGCUCAGGACGAACGCUGGCGGCGUGCCUAAUACAUGCAAGUCGAGCGGACAGAUGGGAGCUUGCUCCCUGAUGUUAGCGGCGGACGGGUGAGUAACACGUGGGUAACCUGCCUGUAAGACUGGGAUAACUCCGGGAAACCGGGGCUAAUACCGGAUGGUUGUUUGAACCGCAUGGUUCAAACAUAAAAGGUGGCUUCGGCUACCACUUACAGAUGGACCCGCGGCGCAUUAGCUAGUUGGUGAGGUAACGGCUCACCAAGGCAACGAUGCGUAGCCGACCUGAGAGGGUGAUCGGCCACACUGGGACUGAGACACGGCCCAGACUCCUACGGGAGGCAGCAGUAGGGAAUCUUCCGCAAUGGACGAAAGUCUGACGGAGCAACGCCGCGUGAGUGAUGAAGGUUUUCGGAUCGUAAAGCUCUGUUGUUAGGGAAGAACAAGUACCGUUCGAAUAGGGCGGUACCUUGACGGUACCUAACCAGAAAGCCACGGCUAACUACGUGCCAGCAGCCGCGGUAAUACGUAGGUGGCAAGCGUUGUCCGGAAUUAUUGGGCGUAAGGGGCUCGCAGGCGGUUUCUUAAGUCUGAUGUGAAAGCCCCCGGCUCAACCGGGGAGGGUCAUUGGAAACUGGGGAACUUGAGUGCAGAAGAGGAGAGUGGAAUUCCACGUGUAGCGGUGAAAUGCGUAGAGAUGUGGAGGAACACCAGUGGCGAAGGCGACUCUCUGGUCUGUAACUGACGCUGAGGAGCGAAAGCGUGGGGAGCGAACAGGAUUAGAUACCCUGGUAGUCCACGCCGUAAACGAUGAGUGCUAAGUGUUAGGGGGUUUCCGCCCCUUAGUGCUGCAGCUAACGCAUUAAGCACUCCGCCUGGGGAGUACGGUCGCAAGACUGAAACUCAAAGGAAUUGACGGGGGCCCGCACAAGCGGUGGAGCAUGUGGUUUAAUUCGAAGCAACGCGAAGAACCUUACCAGGUCUUGACAUCCUCUGACAAUCCUAGAGAUAGGACGUCCCCUUCGGGGGCAGAGUGACAGGUGGUGCAUGGUUGUCGUCAGCUCGUGUCGUGAGAUGUUGGGUUAAGUCCCGCAACGAGCGCAACCCUUGAUCUUAGUUGCCAGCAUUCAGUUGGGCACUCUAAGGUGACUGCCGGUGACAAACCGGAGGAAGGUGGGGAUGACGUCAAAUCAUCAUGCCCCUUAUGACCUGGGCUACACACGUGCUACAAUGGACAGAACAAAGGGCAGCGAAACCGCGAGGUUAAGCCAAUCCCACAAAUCUGUUCUCAGUUCGGAUCGCAGUCUGCAACUCGACUGCGUGAAGCUGGAAUCGCUAGUAAUCGCGGAUCAGCAUGCCGCGGUAAAUACGUUCCCGGGCCUUGUACACACCGCCCGUCACACCACGAGAGUUUGUAACACCCGAAGUCGGUGAGGUAACCUUUUAGGAGCCAGCCGCCGAAGGUGGGACAGAUGAUUGGGGUGAAGUCGAAACAAGGUAGCCGUAUCGGAAGGUGCGGCUG
rnacentral:rRNA from 1 species